rnacentral:rRNA from 1 species
AGGAUGCGAGCGUUAUCCGGAUUCAUUGGGUUUAAAGGGUGCGUAGGGGGAAUUGUAAGUCAGGGGUGAAAGUUUGCGGCUCANCCGUAAAAUUGCCUUUGAUACUGCAGUUCUUGAGUAAACGCGAGGUAUGCGGAAUGAGUAGUGUAGCGGUGAAAUGCAUAGAUAUUACUCAGAACACCGAUUGCGAAGGCAGCAUACCAGAGUUUAACUGACGCUGAUGCACGAAAGCGUGGGUAGCGAACAGGAUUAGAUACCCUGGUAGUCCACGCCGUAAACGAUGGUCACUAGCUGUAUGCGAUACAAAGUAUGUGGCAAAGCGAAAGCAUUAAGUGACCCACCUGGGGAGUACGUUGGCAACGAUGAAACUCAAAGGAAUUGACGGGGGCCCGCACAAGCGGUGGAACAUGUGGUUUAAUUCGAUGAUACGCGAGGAACCUUACCCGGGCUUAAAUGCAGGCUGCAUAGUACAGAGAUGUACUUUUCUUCGGACUGCUUGCAAGGUGCUGCAUGGUUGUCGUCAGCUCGUGCCGUGAGGUGUCGGGUUAAGUCUCAUAACGAGCGCAACACCUAUUAUUAGUUCACAUCAGGUAAAACUGGGGAGUCUAA